rnacentral:rRNA from 1 species
AGAGUUUGAUCCUGGCUCAGGAUGAACGCUAGCUACAGGCUUAACACAUGCAAGUCGAGGGGCAGCGAUGAAGAAAGCUUGCUUUCUUCAGGCGGCGACCGGCGCACGGGUGAGUAACGCGUAUCGAACCUGCCUCAUACUCGGGAAUAGCCUUGCGAAAGUAAGAUUAAUGCCCGAUGUUAUUAGGAUAUCACAUGAUGUUUUAAUUAAAGAUUUAUCGGUAUGAGAUGGCGAUGCGUCCCAUUAGCUUGUUGGCGGGGUAACGGCCCACCAAGGCAUCGAUGGGUAGGGGUUCUGAGAGGAAGGUCCCCCACAUUGGAACUGAGACACGGUCCAAACUCCUACGGGAGGCAGCAGUGAGGAAUAUUGGUCAAUGGACGCAAGUCUGAACCAGCCAAGUAGCGUGCAGGAUGACGGCCCUCUGGGUUGUAAACUGCUUUUAGUUGGGAAUAAAGUGCACCACGUGUGGUGUUUUGUAUGUACCAUCAGAAAAAGGACCGGCUAAUUCCGUGCCAGCAGCCGCGGUAAUACGGAAGGUCCAGGCGUUAUCCGGAUUUAUUGGGUUUAAAGGGAGCGCAGGCGGACCUUUAAGUCAGCUGUGAAAUACGGCGGCUCAACCGUCGAACUGCAGUUGAUACUGGAGGUCUUGAGUGCACACAGGGAUACUGGAAUUCAUGGUGUAGCGGUGAAAUGCUCAGAUAUCAUGAAGAACUCCGAUCGCGAAGGCAGGUAUCCGGGGUGCAACUGACGCUGAGGCUCGAAAGUGCGGGUAUCAAACAGGAUUAGAUACCCUGGUAGUCCGCACAGUAAACGAUGAAUACUCGCGAUUUGCGAUACACAGUAAGUCGCCAAGCGAAAGCGUUAAGUAUUCCACCUGGGGAGUACGCCGGCAACGGUGAAACUCAAAGGAAUUGACGGGGGCCCGCACAAGCGGAGGAACAUGU